rnacentral:sRNA from 1 species
UUUUAGCCCCGAUAGAGGCGGUAUCCUCGUAUCCCGAUGCAUAUCGGGAGGAGAGAUAUAGCCGAAAGCGGGAACUAUG